GAUGAACGCUGGCGGCGUGCCUAAUACAUGCAAGUCGAGCGAACGGACGAGAAGCUUGCUUCUCUGAUGUUAGCGGCGGACGGGUGAGUAACACGUGGAUAACCUACCUAUAAGACUGGGAUAACUUCGGGAAACCGGAGCUAAUACCGGAUAAUAUUUUGAACCGCAUGGUUCAAAAGUGAAAGACGGUCUUGCUGUCACUUAUAGAUGGAUCCGCGCUGCAUUAGCUAGUUGGUAAGGUAACGGCUUACCAAGGCAACGAUGCAUAGCCGACCUGAGAGGGUGAUCGGCCACACUGGAACUGAGACACGGUCCAGACUCCUACGGGAGGCAGCAGUAGGGAAUCUUCCGCAAUGGGCGAAAGCCUGACGGAGCAACGCCGCGUGAGUGAUGAAGGUCUUCGGAUCGUAAAACUCUGUUGUUAGGGAAGAACAUAUGUGUAAGUAACUGUGCACAUCUUGACGGUACCUAAUCAGAAAGCCACGGCUAACUACGU
rnacentral:rRNA from 1 species